rnacentral:tmRNA from 2 species
GGGGACGUUUUGGAUUUGACAGGAUGUUUGGUGAAAAUAGGUUGCGUGUCCGAGCGCUGUUCUCGGUUAUCAACGAGCAAAACAAAUUAAAUGCUAACAAUGUAAUCAAAGCUGACUUCUCUAGAGCUAACGCUUUAGCUGCUUAGUCGCUGAUUCUAGGCUCCUCAUAACGUCCAGCUUGCCGAUUUUAUGGGGCAAUUAUGCAAGUUGCAGUGCGGCAAUUAGUGGUAGCUGUACCAAGAUUAACCACUAAGGGUUUAGAGUUUCCCUCAAAUAAAACCUAGGACUAACUUGUCUGGUUCUGAUAUUUUCCAGAGUUAGUCGAGAAAAUUAAUAUCUACACACGUAGAGGUUUAUUUUUAUCCAUUUUGGACGUGGGUUCGACUCCCACCGUCUCCAGUU